rnacentral:rRNA from 1 species
UACGUAGGGUGCGAGCGUUGUCCGGAAUUACUGGGCGUAAAGAGCUCGUAGGUGGUUUGUCGCGUUGUUCGUGAAAACUCACAGCUUAACUGUGGGCGUGCGGUCGAUACGGGCAUCACUGGAGUUCGGCAGGGGAGACUGGAAUUCCUGGUGUAGCGGUGAAAUGCGCAGAUAUCAGGAGGAACACCGGUGGCGAAGGCGGGUCUCUGGGCAAUAACUGACGCUGAGACACGAAAGCGUGGGUAGCAAACAGG